UUACCCAAGGUUGACCUCGGAUCAGGUAGGAAGACCCGCUGAACUUAAGCAUAUCAAUAAGCGGAGGAAAAGAAACCAACAGGGAUUG
rnacentral:rRNA from 1 species